GACGAACCGUGCGAACGUUGUUCGGAAUCACUGGGCUUAAAGGGUGCGUAGGCGGGCCAUCAAGUCCGGGGUGAAAUCCUCCAGCUUAACUGGAGAAUAGCCCUGGAUACUGGUGGUCUCGAGUGAGGUAGGGGCAGCUGGAACUUCCGGUGGAGCGGUGAAAUGCGCAGAUAUCAGGAGGAACACCGGUGGCGAAGGCGGGUCUCUGGGCCGAUACUGACGCUGAGGAGCGAAAGCGUGGGGAGCGAACAGG
rnacentral:rRNA from 1 species